rnacentral:misc_RNA from 1 species
UGCACCAAGAAUGAAAAAGAAAGGAGAUUGAGAUAAUAGAAAAAAUAGGGAUGAGAAAUAGAUAGAGAGAAUAGAUGAGGGAAGAAUAUUAUUUUCUUUACUGAUCAUAACUCUUUCCUUUCUUCCAUUACAUUUCUAUUUAUAGACUCUCAACUAAGUUUGAUUUCUUAACAACCUUCAGUCAUUUCCCUCCAUUUACAACUCUGCCCAUAACAGCUCAUAUCCUA